GACGAACGCUGGCGGCGUGCUUAACACAUGCAAGUCGAACGGAAAGGCCCUGCUUUUGUGGGGUGCUCGAGUGGCGAACGGGUGAGUAACACGUGAGUAACCUGCCCUUGACUUUGGGAUAACUUCAGGAAACUGGGGCUAAUACCGGAUAGGAGCUCCUGCUGCAUGGUGGGGGUUGGAAAGUUUCGGCGGUUGGGGAUGGACUCGCGGCUUAUCAGCUUGUUGGUGGGGUAGUGGCUUACCAAGGCUUUGACGGGUAGCCGGCCUGAGAGGGUGACCGGCCACAUUGGGACUGAGAUACGGCCCAGACUCCUACGGGAGGCAGCAGUGGGGAAUAUUGCACAAUGGGCGGAAGCCUGAUGCGGCAACGCCGCGUGCGGGAUGACGGCCUUCGGGUUGCAAACCGCUUUCGCCUGUGACGAAGCGUGAGUGACGGUAAUGGGUAAAGAAGCACCGGCUAACUACGUG
rnacentral:rRNA from 1 species